rnacentral:rRNA from 1 species
UAGAGUUUGAUCCUGGCUCACGAUGAACGCUGGCGGCGUGCUUAACACAUGCAAGUCGGACGAUGAAGCCCUUCGGGGUGGAUUAGUGGCGAACGGGUGAGUAACACGUGAGCAACCUGCCCUUGACNNNNNGAUAAGCCUGGGAAGCUGGGUCUAAUACCGGAUAGUACCUUCUGCCGCAUGGUGGGGGGUGGAAAGCCUUGUGCGGUCUUGGAUGGGCUCGCGGCCUAUCAGCUUGUUGGUGGGGUGAUGGCCUACCAAGGCGACGAUGGGUAGCCGGCCUGAGAGGGUGACCGGCCACACUGGGACUGAGACACGGCCCAGACUCCUACGGGAGGCAUCAGUGGGGAAUAUUGCACAAUGGGCGCAAGCCUGAUGCAGCGACGCCGCGUGGGGGAUGACGGCCUUCGGGUU